rnacentral:rRNA from 1 species
UGAAUACGAGACGCUACGGCGUCGAAGCAGUCUAUGUCAUACUUCCAAGAAAAGCUCGCAAUGUCAUAAACAAAUAGUGCCUGUACCAUAACCGACACAGGUGGGUAGGUAGAGUAUACUAAGGGGCGCGAGAUAACUCUCUCUAAGGAACUCGGCAAAAUGACUCCGUAACUUCGGGAGAAGGAGUGCCUUAUUUAUAAGGUUGCAAUAACAAGAUCCAAGCAACUGUUUAUCAAAAACACAGGUCUCCGCUAAGUCGUAAGACGAUGUAUGGGGGCUGACGCCUGCCCAGUGCCAGAAGGUUAAAGAAGUUGGUUAGCAUUCGCGAAGCUGAUAACUGAAGCCCUGGUGAACGGCGGCCGUAACAAUAACGGUCCUAAGGUAGCGAAAUUCCUUGUCGGGUAAGUUCCGACCCGCACGAAAGGCGUAAUGAUUUGGAUACUGUCUCGGAGAGGGGCUCGGUGAAAUAGACUUGUCUGUGAAGAUGCGGACUACCUGCACCUGGACAGAAAGACCCUAUGAAGCUUUACUGUAACUUGAAAUUGAAAUUGGACUUUAUUUGCGCAGCAUAGGUGGGAGGCGUUGAGAGUAUUCUUGCGGGAAUAUUGGAGCCAUCAGUGAGAUACCACUCUUGUAAUGUUAGAUUUCUAACUUUGGAUCAUUAUCUGGUCAAAGAACAGUUUCAGGCGGGCAGUUUGACUGGGGCGGUCGCCUCCCAAAUGGUAACGGAGGCGUACAAAGGUUUCCUCUGAACGGGUAGAAAUCGUAUCUAGAGUGUAAAGGCAUAAGGAAGCUUGACUGUGAGACCUACAAGUCGAGCAGGGACGAAAGUCGGUCUUAGUGAUCUGACGGUGCUGAGUGGAAAGGCCGUCACUCAACGGAUAAAAGUUACUCUAAGGAUAACAGGCUGAUCUCCCCCAAGAGUUCACAUCGACGGGGAGGUUUGGCACCUCGAUGUCGGCUCAUCGCAUCCUGGGGCGGUAGUACGUCCCAAGGGUUGGGCUGUUCGCCCAUGAAAGCGGUACGCGAGCUGGGUUCAGAACGUCGUGAGACAGUUCGGUCCAUAUCCGGUGUAGGCGUUAGAAUAUUGAGAGGAGCCUUCUUUAGUACGAGAGGACCGAGAAGGACAUACCUCUGGUGUACCAGUUAUCGUGCCAACGGUAAACGCUGGGUAGCUAUGUAUGGAGAGGAUAACCGCUGAAAGCAUCUAAGUGGGAAGCCCACCUCAAGAUAAG